rnacentral:rRNA from 1 species
GACAAUAAAUAACAAUGCCGGGCCUUUACAGGUCUGGCAAUUGGAAUGAGAACAAUUUAAAUCCCUUAACGAGGAUCAAUUGGAGGGCAAGUCUGGUGCCAGCAGCCGCGGUAAUUCCAGCUCCAAUAGCGUAUAUUAAUGUUGUUGCAGUUAAAAAGCUCGUAGUUGAAUUUCUGAAUUUAACGUUCGGUCCGAGGGCAUUAUGUUCCUUGUGUACUGUUUUAGUUAAGUUCAUCUUAGUAGUGAGUGUACCUGGCAUUAGGUUGUCGGUUGCAGGAGCUGCUUCGCUUACCGUGAGAAAAAUAGAGUGUUCAAAGCAGGCAUAAUCGCCUUGAAUACUUCAGCAUGGAAUAAGAAAAUAGGACGCAGGUGCUAUUUUAUUGGUUUGCACACCACGUAAUGAUUAAUAGGGAUAGUUGGGGGUAUUCAUAUUUGAUUGUCAGAGGUAAAAUUCUUGGAUUUAUGAAAGAUGAACUUAUGCGAAAGCAUUUAUCAAGGAUGUUUUCAUUAAUCAAGAACGAAAGUUAGGGGAUCGAAGAGGAUUAGAUACCCUCGUAGUCUUAACCAUAAACUAUGCCGACUCGGGAUCAGUGGGGUUUGUUUAACGUCUCCAUUGGCACCGUAUGAGAAAUCAAAGUCUUUGGGUUCCGGGGGGAGUAUGGUCGCAAGGCUGAAAUCCA